CAGUCGUACCGGCGAGAAAUCAACUCUUCGAGUGCGAAUUUGUGGGCGUGCGUGAACUUUACGGUCUCGCUGUUUGCAACGUUUGUGUUCUUGAGGUGUACUUUUUCGUGUGGUAGGUCAACAUCGGUCUUGAUCGCUAUAAAAUAACCGGAGGAAUGUAGCUUCGAUCUUGUAUUGAAGUGUUAUAGCCUCUGGUAGAUGUAGCGAUCGGAACCGAGGAUUGCAACGAAUACCUUUUGGGCUAUCCGCCUGACCUCUGAUAGUUGCUUGGGUGUCGAAAGCUUGCUUACGAUUAUUCAAAACAAUUGCCAAAAGGUUAGAGCGUGAUUACA
rnacentral:rRNA from 1 species